rnacentral:rRNA from 1 species
AGAGUUUAAUCCUGGCUCAGGAUGAACGCUAGCUACAGGCUUAACACAUGCAAGUCGAGGGGCAGCAUGUUGGUUGCUUGCAACCAACGAUGGCGACCGGCGCACGGGUGAGUAACGCGUAUCCAACCUACCCUUGUCCAUCGGAUAACCCGUCGAAAGGCGGCCUAACACGAUAUGCGGUUCACGGCAGGCAUCUAAGGUGAACGAAAUGUGAAGGAGAAGGAUGGGGAUGCGUCUGAUUAGCUUGUUGGCGGGUAACGGCCACCAAGGCUACGAUCAGUAGGGGUCCUGGAGAGGAAGGUCCCCCACACUUGGAACUGAGACACGGUCCAAACUCCUACGGAGGCA